GGGUGACCGGCCACACUGGGACUGAGAUACGGCCCAGACUCCUACGGGAGGCAGCAGUAGGGAAUAUUGCACAAUGGGCGCAAGCCUGAUGCAGCAACGCCGCGUGGACGAUGAAGCUCCUUGGAGUGUAAAGUCCUGUCAGUGGGGACGAACCGCACCGGAAGGAAAUGACCGGUGCCUGACUGUACCUGCAGAGGAAGUUCCGGCUAACUCCGUGCCAGCAGCCGCGGUAACACGGGGGGAACGAGCGUUGUUCGGAUUUACUGGGCGUAAAGGGCACGUAGGCGGAAAGGCAAGUCAGAUGUGAAACCCCGGGGCUUAACCGCGGGCCUGCAUUUGAAACUGUCUUUCUUGAGUACGGGAGAGGAUGGCGGAAUUCCUGGUGUAGCGGUGAAAUGCGUAGAUAUCAGGAAGAACACCGGUGGCGAAGGCGACCAUCUGGACCGAUACUGACGCUAAGGUGCGAAGGCCGGGGGAGCAAACAGGAUUAGAUACCCUGGUAGUCCCGGCGGUAAACGAUGGGUACUAGGUGUUGGGGGUAUCGACCCCCCCAGUGCCGCAGCUAACGCAUUAAGUACCCCGCCUGGGGAGUACGGCCGCAAGGUUGAAACUCAAAGGAAUUGACGGGGGCCCGCACAAGCGGUGGAGUAUGUGGUUUAAUUCGACGCAACGCGAAGAACCUUACCUGGGCUUGACAUGCUUGGGAAAGCUACAGAGAUGUAGCCCCCUCCUUCGGGAGGUCCUUGCACAGGUGCUGCAUGGCUGUCGUCAGCUCGUGCCGUGAGGUGUUGGGUUAAGUCCCGCAACGAGCGCAACCCUUGUUCCUAGUUGCCAUUCGUUAACUCGAGGAACUCUAGGAAGACUGCCGGCGACAAGCCGGAGGAAGGUGGGGAUGACGUCAAGUCCUCAUGGCCCUUACGUCCAGGGCUACACACGUACUACAAUGGUCGGUACAGAGGGUCGCAAGCCCGCAAGGUGGAGCCAAUCCCUAAAACCGGCCUCAGUUCAGAUCGGAGUCUGUAACUCGACUCCGUGAAGUUGGAAUCGCUAGUAAUCGCGCAUCAGCAUGGCGCGGUGAAUACGUUCCCGGGCCUUGUACACACCGCCCGUCAAGCCAUGGGAGCCGGGGGUACCCGAAGCCGUUGAUCUAACCGCAAGGAGGACAACGUCGAAGGUAAAAUCGGUGACUGGGGCUAAGUCGAAACAAGGUA
rnacentral:rRNA from 1 species